CGUGUAGGCGGGAAGGUAAGUCGGGCGUGAAAUCCCUGAGCUCAACUCAGGAACUGCACUCGAAACUACUUUUCUUGAGUGCCGGAGAGGAAAGCGGAAUUCCUGGUGUAGAGGUGAAAUUCGUAGAUAUCAGGAGGAACACCAGUGGCGAAGGCGGCUUUCUGGACGGUAACUGACGCUGAGACGCGAAAGCGUGGGGAGAAC
rnacentral:rRNA from 1 species